AUUGAACGCUGGCGGCAUGCCUUACACAUGCAAGUCGAACGGCAGCACGGGAGCAAUCCUGGUGGCGAGUGGCGAACGGGUGAGUAAUAUAUCGGAACGUGCCCAGUAGUGGGGGGAUAACUGCUCGAAAGAGCAGCUAAUACCGCAUACGACCUGAGGGUGAAAGGGGGGGGAUCGCAAGACCUCUCGCUAUUGGAGCGGCCGAUAUCAGAUUAGCUAGUUGGUGGGGUAAAGGCCUACCAAGGCAACGAUCUGUAGUUGGUCUGAGAGGACGACCAGCCACACUGGGACUGAGACACGGCCCAGACUCCUACGGGAGGCAGCAGUGGGGAAUUUUGGACAAUGGGCGCAAGCCUGAUCCAGCAAUGCCGCGUGCAGGAAGAAGGCCUCGGGUUGUAACUAGCUUUGUUCUAGGGAAGGAAAGUACCU
rnacentral:rRNA from 1 species